rnacentral:rRNA from 1 species
UGGGGAAUAUUGCGCAAUGGGGGGAACCCUGACGCAGCCAUGCCGCGUGAAUGAAGAAGGCCUUCGGGUUGUAAAGUUCUUUCGGUAUUGAGGAAGGUUGAUGUGUUAAUAGUACAUCAAAUUGACGUUAAAUACAGAAGAAGCACCGGCUAACUCCGUGCCAGCAGCCGCGGUAAUACGGAGGGUGCGAGCGUUAAUCGGAAUAACUGGGCGUAAAGGGCACGCAGGCGGUUAUUUAAGUGAGGUGUGAAAGCCCCGGGCUUAACCUGGGAAUUGCAUUUCAGACUGGGUAACUAGAGUACUUUAGGGAGGGGUAGAAUUCCACGUGUAGCGGUGAAAUGCGUAGAGAUGUGGAGGAAUACCGAAGGCGAAGGCAGCCCCUUGGGAAUGUACUGACGCUCAUGUGCGAAAGCGUGGGGAGCAAACA